rnacentral:rRNA from 1 species
AUUGAACGCUGGCGGCAUGCCUUACACAUGCAAGUCGAACGGUAACAGGCCGCCAGGUGCUGACGAGUGGCGAACGGGUGAGUAAUGCAUCCGAACGUGCCCAGUAGCGGGGGGUAACUGCUCGCAAGAGUAGAUAAUACCUCAUACCAUAUAAGGUAGAGAGCGGGGGAGCGUAAGGGUUCGAGCGGUUGGUGCGGACGAUGUCAGAUUAGGUAGUUGGGGGGGUAAAGGUUGACCAAGCCAACGAUCAGCAACUGGUCUGAGCGGACAACAAGCCACACUGGGACUGAGACACGGCCCAGACUCCUACGGGAGGCAGCAGUGGGGAAUUUUGGACAAUGGGGGCAAGCCUGAUCCAGGAAUGCCGCGGGCAGGAAGAAGGCCUUCGGGUUGGUAACUGCUUUUGUACGGAGCGAAACAGCUCUGGUUAAUACCCGGGGCUAAUGACGGUACCGUAAGAAUAAGCACCGGCUAACUACGUG